rnacentral:rRNA from 1 species
GGGCCCGCACAAGCGGUGGAGCAUGUGGUUUAAUUCGAUGAUACGCGAGGAACCUUACCAGGGCUUAAAUGUAAGUUGCAUAGAUCAGAGAUGGUCUUUUCUUCGGACUACUUACAAGGUGCUGCAUGGUUGUCGUCAGCUCGUGCCGUGAGGUGUCAGGUUAAGUCCUAUAACGAGCGCAACCCCUGUCGUUAGUUACCAGCAAGUAAUGUUGGGAACUCUAACGGGACUGCCGGUGCAAACCGCGAGGAAGGUGGGGAUGACGUCAAAUCAUCACGGCCCUUACGUCCUGGGCUACACACGUGCUACAAUGGCCGGUACAGAAAGCAGCCACUAUGCGAAUAGGAGCUAAUCUUUAAAACCGAUCUCAGUUCGGAUCGCAGUCUGCAACUCGACUGCGUGAAGCUGGAAUCGCUAGUAAUCG